rnacentral:ribozyme from 12 species
UUUCUGUUUUGAAUGAUUUAAAACGUUGCAAAAGAGAGAAAAAAACCAUUAAGACCAUUGGGGUUUUUUUUCGUUUCAAAUGUGGGGGUAGUUGGGGGUUAACAGACCAAAAACACACAACAGAUAUGAGUACUUUUUUUGCAUAAACGGGUCAUAAAGGGCGUCACAGGGUUUGGGUUGUCACAACCCAAAAAGGCGGGGAAACGGGUGUGCAUUCAGGA